rnacentral:rRNA from 1 species
GACGAACGCUGGCGGCGUGCUUAACACAUGCAAGUCGAACGGAAAGGCCCUGCUUUUGUGGGGUGCUCGAGUGGCGAACGGGUGAGUAACAAGUGAGUAACCUGCCCUUGACUUUGGGAUAACUUCAGGAAACUGGGGCUAAUACCGGAUAGGAGCUCCUGCUGCAUGGUGGGGGUUGGAAAGUUUCGGCGGUUGGGGAUGGACUCGCGGCGUAUCAGCUUGUUGGUGGGGUAGUGGCUUACCAAGGCUUUGACGGGUAGCCGGCCUGAGAGGGUGACCGGCCACAUUGGGACUGAGAUGCGGCCCAGACUCCAACGGGAGGCAGCAGUGGGGAAUAUUGCACAAUGGGCGGAAGCCUGAUGCAGCAACGCCGCGUGCGGGAUGACGGCCUUCGGGUUGUAAACCGCUUUCGCCUGUGACGAAGCGUGAGUGACGGUAAUGGGUAAAGAAGCACCGGCUAACUACGUG